UACGAAGGGGGCUAGCGUUGUUCGGAAUCACUGGGCGUAAAGCGCACGUAGGCGGAUUGUUAAGUCGGGGGUGAAAUCCUGAGGCUCAACCUCAGAACUGCCUUCGAUACUGGCAAUCUCGAGUCCGGAAGAGGUUGGUGGAACAGCUAGUGUAGAGGUGAAAUUCGUAGAUAUUAGCUAGAACACCAGUGGCGAAGGCGGCCAACUGGUCCGGUACUGACGCUGAGGUGCGAAAGCCAGGGGAGCAAACGGG
rnacentral:rRNA from 1 species